GGACAGCAGCCCUGCAAUUCAAGAGGAGAAAAAGAUUGGAGAGACAUCUUUGAGGCACAGUCCAUUAGCUUAGUCCACUUAGUCACACUCAGGAGAUUGCUUUGGCCCAGAACUACCUUAUAAGGCAGUAUCACCAUUAUGCCUUUAUAUGAGGCAGCUGAGCUCAGGGAUCCAGUCAUCCAAGAGAUGACUCCUGAGAUACAUCUCAACAAGCUGCACGAAAAACCAGGGCUUCAUCGUCGAGCUGUUACCAAAUGGGAAACUUCCUAUUAUUCCAAGGAUGGUGGGCGAAUAUCUCUUCAGAAAUGGAAACAUACCUCCCAGCCACCUUGAUUUUUUUCCCAAAGGAUCUAAUAAUGAUUGAUGUGUCCAGACAAAAAGAAUAAUUUGCUGGUAUAUAAGGAACUAAGUUACAAAAGACUUAAGGAUACAGGAACAUAGGAUUUAUUGAAUGCUGCAAUUUGACUUGCUGUGUGUACAAACAUCAUUACUGGAAUAAUGAAAAAUCAUACCUAUCACUUUGUCAAGUAAAAUUAAGGUUAGCAACAUGAGUAGUCAGGGAAAUAUGUUCCAAGUUUAAUGGCUCCUCCCAUCACCACCUAACUCUUCUGGCAAGUUUUGUAAGCAGAGGUUUACACCCUCUGA